rfam:Pteropus alecto contig169447, whole genome shotgun sequence.
CCCUAUGGCUAUGCCACCCUGAAUGUGCCCAAUCUUGUCUGAUCUCGGAAGCCAAACAGGGUCUGGCCUGGUUGGUACUUGGAUGGGAGACCACCUAGGAAUACCGGGUGCUGUAGGCA